ensembl:lncRNA
GAUCCUCUGCUGUACCGCCCACAGGCCGCAGACACACCACAACUAUCUGGAAAUCCUCCUGUGGCAACAGGCCCCGCCUCUGCUUGCAACACGGCCAACACCUCCCUCAAGAAGGAGCAAAGCUGUCUGGAGAUACCUGACAAGGAGGCUGAAGGAGAGAAACAGAAACAGGAUGACGCAGCGGCUGCUGCUGCCGCUGCUGCUGCCGCUGCUGCUGCUGCUGCUGCUGCUGCCUCCCCUUGUCUACCGGAUUCAAACAAAGACCCCACUGCUGCUCCUUCACGGCUGAUGUCAUUGGUGAGGACGAACACAGAGGCCUUUUAGUAAUCAGAAGUUUCUCGGUUUGAUCAAGAGCGCAUCACUGCGUCAUCAGUUUGUGAAUGAGAUAAGGCACUUGACGGCGAUUAAUCCGUAUGAAACUCUUUGUGUCUGUUCAGGUUAACCACACAACAGUGGCAGAGCAGCCACAGACAGUCAUUGUGAAUCAACAGCAGACGUCUUUAGGUGAGUGGCUAAUUAUACUGUCCCUUUAGACAAUGUGAUAUGUUCGGUUUGUCUGUUUGUUUGUUGUGUGUUUUUGUCAGCAGGAUUACUCAAAAAGCUAUGGACGGAUUUGUAUGAUUAAAAAAGAAAUCAAAGAUAGGUAUAUCUAGUUUCAGGAAGGUUUUUUUUGCAAAACUUUACAUUUUGAGUCAUAUCUCAAAACUUGCAUCUCAGAAGAUGGAGAUGCAAAUGCACAUUUAUGGUGAGACAGCAUAUAGGUGGGGGAUUGCUCAGCCCUGUCGGCGGUCUGCACUCUCUGAAUGCUCUUGUGUUUAUAAUUUGUUUUAUCUUUUUAAAUUUAGAAAAAGAAGCAUGGAUUAAUUUUUGUGCUUGACAUCUGAACACAAAAUCGAUUUUCUCUUAAUCCAAAGGUUCAUCACCAAGACCCCCGGGUCCAUCAUCUUGCUGGGGCAGGUCAGUAAAUCAUGUGUGUAUGUAUGUUUGUUUAGGUACUUGUCUGUAUUUGACUGUGUCCACUGUUUCAAGGUUGAUUUCUUCUCCCUGUAUCUUUCCCCACAGCUCCUCUUACUCCUCGGGUUGUCCCACCGGAAGCUGGACUGAAUCCCAGCAGCCCUCUUCCUCCCCCUCCUCAGCAUAUCCAGCGCCUAUUCCACCUCUAUUUCCCUCCCCCCUUUUUCACACAUACCUCUCGGCUCACCAGUCCCACAGCGGUUACCCUCCUGGAUACCCACCUACCACGCCCAUCUGGACUCUCCCAUGCCCCCAGGGUGCCCCCAUCCCUUCCCCCUGCUCCUCUACCUCCACCUCCUCCAUUCCUCCCCUCGGCUCCAAGGACUGGUACUUGCAUCAGAGAAAGAAGAAGGAAAGGUCGCCUCACAGAGGAUCUGCCUACAGACGCUCCUCGUCUCGCUCUAAUUCAAAGUCUUCUAAGUCCAAGUCUUCUCGUUCCUACUCUCACUCCUCAAGCAGGUCCAGAUCCCGUUCGCGAUCCAGAUCCCAAAGCAGAUCAAGGCCCCGCUCACCUUACUCCCAUCAAAGAGAUCCCCACAGCCGCUCUCAUGCCUCUUAUAGCUAUGGCUACAAACGCUCCCCGACACCGUCCUCAUCAUCUUCACCUCACGUUGGUCCCCAAUCCAGGUCCAAGUCGCCAUCGGAUCACCACAAAAACCGCCACCACAGCCGCAGUCACACCAAGAAGUCUGCUUCGAGCAGCUACAGCUCCACGAGGCGAGCAGAAUGCUCAGGGAGGGAAGUGGGAGGCUUCGGGGCGAGUUUAACCGGUUCCCAUUAUACCCAGCCAGCAAAUCAAAAAAGCAGUCAGGAGCUGGACAGGGAGCGCUACCUACAGUGGAAGAAACAGUACAAAGACUGGUGUGAGAAAUAUUUCAGCAGGUAUGUCGGCCACUUCCAUCAGCUGCCUCUUCCCUUCAUCAAUCUUCCUCCUCCUCCUCUGUGGGAAGGAAACAAAUAUCCCCCUCAUGCCAACUUGGACUCUCGCUACCAGAGCGCUGCCUGGAUGGACGGACGCUCCCCUCCAUCACAGUCAUCCAGUGACAGUCGCUCACCUCCAUCUCAUUCCUCAAGUGAAAGCCGCUCCACGCCGUCUCAGUCGUCCAGUGACAGUCGCUCCCCUCCAUCUCAUAUGUCCAACAACAGCCGUUCCCCUCCCUCUCGGUCGUCUAGCGAUGGUCGCUCUACACCGUCCAAAGACAGGACUGAGCCGGGGGCACAUCAACAACUGAAGGACGGUGACCUGCCGUUCACUUUUACAAAGGGCAGUAAGGAGGUGGAAGUCCAAGAAAGAAGCAAUGAUGACAAGCGGGUGAUCGGUAGAAAUCCAGAGGACCUCAGCAUCGUAAAAAAUGAGCAAAGGAGGACAAAGAAACAUGAGGGUGGAAGAGAAGAGGAGUCGACGUCCCGUGAUGCUGUAGACUCAACAGAGGAUACCCGAAAGGAUGAGAGGGGGCACGACACUGGACCACAUGCCCGCAAGGAUGGCACCUCAGUAAGGGACAAGGCGACCUUUCACCCUUCUCUGAAACCAAAUUUAGAAGGAGAGAAAGGGAGGAGAAGAGGUCAAGAUUCAGACUCCAGACAAGAUGUGGAGAGACAGCGCAAACUAAAGUCCAAUAAAGAGGCAGGUAGAAACGAAAAUCCUGGAGGCAGCAAAGCGGCGGUCUUAAGCUCAGAGAAGAUUAGAAAAAGAAAAGGAGAGAACCUGGAGCAAAAGGAAACCCGCAAAAGUGAAUCCCUCGAUCCAUCUGACAGAAAGAAGCCAAAAUCCGAACAGAAAAAGGAAGGUAAAGCAUGGCCGCUGAGAGAGAGGGACAUCUGGGAGGGAAAAAUAACCGUGAAACCACAGAAGAAAAUAAGCAUCAACAUCAACCUGGAUGGGAAAAGGAAGGAGGAGAAAACUGAAACACAGGAGAAUAUCAUAGGAAAAUCAAAGGAGGAAAUGGAGAAUAUUGGUGAUAGAGAAGGGAAGUUACGCAGAGGAGACACCGGGGUUGAAGUUAAUGAAAAGAAGGAAUCCAGCAGAGAAAAGGAAGGUGUGUUUGAAGAAAAAAUAAAACCAGAUGAAGGAGACGCAAAGCAGUUAUUGGACAUCCCUGCCAUCAGAGUUGACAAGAGAGGGAUGUGGGUUAACAUAGCAGCAAAGAAAGAAGAGGUUGUAGGAAAGAAAGCGGAAGGAGAAGAUGAAGACUUUGACUUAUGGCAUAGUGCCCUACUCUCCAAGGAGGAGAAGGAGAGUAAAAAUCAAUGGGAGGAAGCAGGCGGGAUGAAGCCCAGCAAAAGUGAAGAGCUGACAAGAGACGAGAGGAGGAGCACGACUGGAAAAGAGGAGGAAGAAGAGAGAGCAAGGAAAGAAAGUGGAGGCCAAAAUUCUGAGAAUGUGAGGGAAAGCACAUGCGCGGAAAACGCGAGAAACUCGCUGGAGGUGUCGAAGCCAGACGAGGCGCUGAUGGAGAGAGUGAAGAGGUGGAAGGAGGAAGAAGAAGAAGACACAAUGAGGUUCAACUCUCAGAGGAGCAGCAGCGAGAGCCACGAUGACAGCAGCUGCGAGGAUGAGCAGGAGAGGAGGACGGUGGGGAAAAAUCUGGAGGAAUACAUCCAGGAUAGAGUGGCCAAGGCCGAGGAUCAGCUGGUACUCUUACAGGUCCCUCUCUCCAAAUGGGAGAAGGUAGAGUCUGAGGAGGAAGAGCGGAACGAAGAAGAGGUCAAAGCUCAAGAGCCUCUGUCUGUGGUUCUGCCUCCACCAUUAGCGAUCUCAAGCAACAGAGAGACAGAGGGAGAGAGUGAGCAAAAGAGACAGAGGUCAGUUGACGUAAAGAGAGACGGGGACAGAGUGACACUGAGAGGAAUGGAUGGGGAGAAAGGGCAGAGCUUCACUCUGCCCAGUUUAGAAAGAAUUGUGGCUCCCUCUAGUGGCAAAGAUACGAGCGACAGCGCCUUGGGUACAGACAGGGAGAGGGGGAGGGAGAGAGAGAGGCCAAGGGAUAGAAAGAAAGAGACCAAAAGAUCAAAAGAGAGGACCAAUGAGGAAGAAAGGGGGAGGGACAGAGGGAGAGACAGGGGGCACAGCAGCAACGCCUCGGUCCAAAAGAAGAAUCUCCCUUCCUCCGGUCACUCAACGUCAAAGGACAUGGAGAGGAGGGACUGGCAGCGAGGACGCCACCACGAGAAGAGUUCAGACUCCUCACGCCCUGACGGGAAACACAGUGUUAGCAGGGAAAGAAGCUCGAUAAGCAGAGCUGCAGAAUUGCCUGAUAAACAUACACACAAAACAUACAGAGACACAUUACUGGACUCAAAGCGUCAUGACAGCAACCCUCCCCAUGACUACCAUGGUCACCGGUAUCCAGCAGGGAACCGACACCAUGACAGACCUGCAGGGACUCACCACUCCUCACCUUCCCUCUCCCACGGCCAGGGUAAGGAGGGAGUCCCAUUCCCCUCCAGAGUGUGCAGCCCCGGUCGGAAGUUAAUGCAGAACAGAAGUAGAAAUGAGGGCAAGGAAUAUAAGGGGGAGUGGAAGACAAACAACGUGGAUAAAGUGAUAAAAGAAAGCAAAGGGCAGAGAGAGAAGAGAGUAGUGGAGGCGGAGACAGAAGGAGGGAAUCAAUGGCAAGAUGAGGUUCAUAAAAUGUCCGCAGAGACCAAGUGGGAAGGACAAAGGGAGCUGGUGGAGGGAGAGGGGCCCAGCAGCAGCAGCAGCAGCAGCAGCAGCAGCAGCUCAUCAGCAAGCCAUGAGAGCAGCAAGGACGACAGGAGGAAAGAGGGCACGAAGAAACAGAAAAGGGAGACAAGCAAAUCCUCCCCGGAGCUGCUGGAGGAGUGGGAGCUGAAGAAGCACAAGAAGAAGUCAAAGAGAGACAACGACGGGAGGGAGGAGGAGAGUGGAGGAGAGGUGGACGACUGGUGGAAAGAAGUUAUGUCAUCUUGA